rnacentral:rRNA from 1 species
CAUAUCAAUAAGCGGAGGAAAAGAAACCAACAGGGAUUGCCCCAGUAACGGCGAGUGAAGCGGCAACAGCUCAAAUUUGAAAUCUGGCUCUCGGGCCCGAGUUGUAAUUUGUAGAGGAUGCUUUUGGUGAGGUGCCUUCCGAGUUCCCUGGAACGGGACGCCAUAGAGGGUGAGAGCCCCGUCUGGUUGGACACCGAUCCUCUGUAAAGCUCCUUCGACGAGUCGAGUAGUUUGGGAAUGCUGCUCUAAAUGGGAGGUAUAUGUCUUCUAAAGCUAAAUACCGGCCAGAGACCGAUAGCGCACAAGUAGAGUGAUCGAAAGAUGAAAAGAACUUUGAAAAGAGAGUUAAAAAGUACGUGAAAUUGUUGAAAGGGAAGCGCUUGUGACCAGACUUGGGCUUGGUUGAUCAUCCGGGGUUCUCCCCGGUGCACUCUUCCGGCCCAGGCCAGCAUCAGUUCGCCCUGGGGGACAAAGGCUUCGGGAAUGUGGCUCUCUCCGGGGAGUGUUAUAGCCCGUUGCGUAAUACCCUGUGGCGGACUGAGGUUCGCGCAUCGCAAGGA